rnacentral:rRNA from 1 species
AGCGAACGCUGGCGGCAGGCUUAACACAUGCAAGUCGAGCGGGCAUAGCAAUAUGUCAGCGGCAGACGGGUGAGUAACGCGUGGGAACGUACCUUUUGGUUCGGAACAACUGAGGGAAACUUCAGCUAAUACCGGAUAAGCCCUUACGGGGAAAGAUUUAUCGCCGAAAGAUCGGCCCGCGUCUGAUUAGCUAGUUGGUGAGGUAAUGGCUCACCAAGGCGACGAUCAGUAGCUGGUCUGAGAGGAUGAUCAGCCACAUUGGGACUGAGACACGGCCCAAACUCCUACGGGAGGCAGCAGUGGGGAAUAUUGGACGAUGGGCGCAAGCCUGAUCCAGCCAUGCCGCGUGAGUGAUGAAGGCCCUAGGGUUGUAAGGCUCUUUUGUGCGGGAAGAUAAUGACGGUACCGCAAGAAUAAGCCCCGGCUAACUUCGUGCCAGCAGCCGCCGUAA